rnacentral:rRNA from 1 species
UACAGAGGGUGCGAGCGUUAAUCGGAAUUACUGGGCGUAAAGGGCGCGUAGGCGGGCCGACAAGUCAGGGGUGAAAUCCUCCAGCCCAACUGGAGAAGCGCCUUUGGUACUGUCGGCCUCGAGGGGUGCAGGGGCAUGCGGAACUCAGGGUGGAGCGGUGAAAUGCGUAGAUAUCCUGAGGAACACCGGUGGCGAAAGCGGCGUGCUGGACACCUUCUGACGCUGAGGCGCGAAAGCCAGGGGAGCGAACGGG